rnacentral:rRNA from 1 species
GACGAACGCUGGCUGCGUGCUUAACACAUGCAAGUCGAACGGAAAGGCCCUGCUUUUGUGGUGUGCUCGAGUUGCGAACGGGUGAGUAACACUUGAGUAACCUGCCCUUGACUUUGGGUUAACUUCAGGAAACUGAGGCUAAUACCGGAUAGUAGCUCCUGCUGCAUGGUGGGGGUUGGAACGUUUCGGCGGUUGGUGAUGGACUCGCGGCUUAUCAUCUUGUUGGUGGGGUAGUGGCUUACCAAGGCUUUGACGGGUAGCCGGCCUGAGAGGGUGACCGGCAAAAGUGGGACUGAGAUACGGCACAGACUACUAAGGGAGGCAGCAGUAGGGAAGAGUGCACAAUGGGCGGAAGCAGGAUGCAGGAAGGCCGCGUGAGGGAUGACGGACUUCGGGUUGGAAACCGCUUUCGCCUGUGACGAAGCGUGAGUGAAGGUAAUGGGUAAAGAAGCACCGGCUAACUACGUG